CCAAAUGUUGAAAUUUUUGAACAACUUUUUUUUAAAAAAAUCAUUCUCUGAAAUUGUAGACCAUAAAAAUAUAAUAAAAAUAAAAUUUUCCUCGUCGAAUUUGUGGUCUCGAAACCACUGUUCCAACUAGGCCUAAAAUCGAGCUAUUACAAUUGGUCCUUUUAAGGUAUUUUCUCUGUUUUCGUUACAAUACAACAAGUAAAGAAGGGCAUCUGUAAUAGGUCAAUUUUGGCCUGGGCCCAGAUCAAAAAAAAAAAAACAAACCCAAUAAAUAAAAGUCCAAAAAGAUUAAUAGUCCAUUACAAUGAAUAAAAGCCUACCACCCAAUUACCAGCCCAAAACAAAAAAGCAAGCCCAAUCAAACUAGUCCACUACUCAAUCAAAUAACCGAAACUCAAACCUAAUAGCCCAAAAUUAACCUAGCCCAAUUAGCCCAACAUCUAAACAAAACAAAAACCCUAGCCCCCUAAGGCUCCAACUCUGCAUGUCAGAACCACCUACGCUACACGCCAUCGCCGAUCGAGGCUCGCCUGUACGUUUUGAAUCCCAC
rnacentral:lncRNA from 1 species